rnacentral:rRNA from 1 species
UACGUAGGGGGCAAGCGUUGUCCGGAAUCAUUGGGCGUAAAGAGCGUGUAGGCGGCCCGGUAAGUCCGCUGUGAAAGUCCAGGGCUCAACCCUGGGAUGCCGGUGGAUACUGUCGGGCUCGAGUCCGGAAGAGGAGUGUGGAAUUCCUGGUGUAGCGGUGAAAUGCGCAGAUAUCAGGAGGACACCAAUGGCGAAGGCAGCACUCUGGGAGCGUGACUGACGCUG